rfam:Triticum aestivum genome assembly, contig: Triticum_aestivum_CS42_TGACv1_scaffold_288770_4AL
GAGCAAAUGAUGAUUCCAAAAGAUUAUUCUGAUACAUUUGAUGUUUCAAAAUCGAGCUUUUUAAACCUGAUGCUCA